rnacentral:rRNA from 1 species
UUGAUCCCUGGCUCAGGACGAACGCUGGCGGCGUGCCUAAUACAUGCAAGUCGAGCGGACAGAUGGGAGCUUGCUCCCUGAUGUUAGCGGCGGACGGGUGAGUAACACGUGGGUAACCUGCCUGUAAGACUGGGAUAACUCCGGGAAACCGGGGCUAAUACCGGAUGCUUGAUUGAACCGCAUGGUUCAAUUAUAAAAGGUGGCUUUUAGCUACCACUUACAGAUGGACCCGCGGCGCAUUAGCUAGUUGGUGAGGUAACGGCUCACCAAGGCAACGAUGCGUAGCCGACCUGAGAGGGUGAUCGGCCACACUGGGACUGAGACACGGCCCAGACUCCUACGGGAGGCAGCAGUAGGGAAUCUUCCGCAAUGGACGAAAGUCUGACGGAGCAACGCCGCGUGAGUGAUGAAGGUUUUCGGAUCGUAAAACUC